ACGCGGGGUAGGGGCUCGGGGGGGGGGGGGCGGGAACCAGACGCUCCACGCCAGGCUGGGCGCCGGGCCCGCUCUCCGCCCACGGGAGGCUCGUGUCUGGCCGGCCGGCCGCCAGCGCUGUCCCAAUGGGAACGUCUGUGCCCAGUGCUGCUGCCACCUCACGUUCCUUGUGAGGCCUCUGUCCUUUCAAGCAGAGCAACUGUCACCUGAAGAGAAAAGACACACAGAGCCCUUUUAUCCAAACGCGGGGUCCGGUAGGAUGCCCACAGUCCCGAUGCCGGUGCCCACGGGGCUGGCCCCUGGGUCCUCGGAGCGCCAGGUGGAGCCGGGACUGCGACCGCGGCCCUUCACACGGGGCGUGUUUGCUCGUGCCUGUACCUCUCACUAAGGAGACCUGGCCGGGGGGACAGGAGAGCGGGUGGCUCUCAGACCUUCUAGGCCCUGAGACCCCUGACUUCCCCGCAGACACUUACAGUGUUCCUUUACCGUUAGAGCCACAUCAGAGCCACGGCAACUUGGGAGGAAGCGGCGCCUCCCGCCUCCUCUCGCCGUGUGGCCUCCCCGGGCGGGCUGCCCUCUGCUCCCGGCCCGGCACGCACGCCUGCCUGCGUCAUAGGCGACGUGCUACGCCCUCCCAUCCCGUCUUCUCUGUCGCCACCCGCAUUUUUGCACGACACGUAAGCAUCCCAGAUUCGUGUGCCGUCGCUUCAGGAACAGGGCGACUUGCACACUUACACCUUCUCGAGGAAGCCGCCCGAGCUCGAUCGCAGCAGCCCAGCAGAAACAGCUGGCGUGCCAGGAGAUGGGUGGCUACCCGCGAAACCCCAUGGGGCCGGGGCUGACGGGCGCGUCUUCUUACCGUAGGGAGCGCUGGGAGCCGGCCUCAGCUGAUGCUGACGGGUGACUCAGGGUGGGGCCUCGUCACGUGGCUGGUCCCCAGAAAGACCGCCUGAGCGCGGCUUGCAGCUUUCAGCCCCAUCCCAACGGCCCCGCAGGUGGAGGAGAAUUGCCACCCUUGUGGGAAACCCCCCAGCCAUUGACCUUGGGACAGGGUCCUUCCAGGGGCGAACACCCUGCCCAAGGGGCUCGGUGGGAAGCCACGCUGUGCCGGAGGCUGGGAGGGGACGGCAGCCAUCCACGCCACAUCCCGCUUCUUCCUCUCUGUUGCAGAGGAUGCCCUCGUCUCCCUGAGGCCUACGAGGUGCGUAAAACAUUUCUGGGACUUUCUGAACAUGCAGGAAGGAUGUUGUGAGGCUGGGUGUCCCCGCGGAGUCAGGGCUCGGGCUUCUGCAGAUGCUUCACCCUCACCACCACCCCCCCCGACCCCCCAACCGAGCGUAUGAAAGCAAACCCACAUGGCGUCCUUGACCUACAGCCAGUUAAUGUGCCUUCGAAGGAUCAGGACUCUUAGCGGGGCCGCGAUGCAGGACUGCCGGAAAACAAUUAGGAAACCAGUGCUUACAGCCCCACGGCCGCCGUGCCCAGCUCUCCUGCGCGCGGCCAGACCAGGCUCGGCUUGUCCCCUGCCUCCCGGAGCGCCAGCUCCUGGCCCAGGGCCUGUGCCCCAUUGUCACCCAGGCCCCCUGGAAAUGCCACUCUGCAAAUGCCCAGCUGUCCCUUCCCGGCCAGCCCCUGGCUUCCCAGCUCUGCUGCGGAGGGGUGCUAGGCUCUGCCGCGGGGUCGGGGCAUCCCAGCCCUCCCCUCUCCCGCCCACGCUCCCCUUCCCACCCGCUCUUGCAAAGCUUGACUACUCCCCUGGCCUCUGCCGUUCAGUCAGCAGGUGACCACAAGGAGAAAAGAGAGGCCACCAGGCGGGCGUGCACAGGCUCUGCCAUCUCCUCUCCUAGGCCUCUGCCAGUGCCCCCUCUGUGGCCCCAGUUCUGUUGCUCCCGGCCUCCCGGCGCUUUGCUGUGGCGCACGGACCCCUUCCCUCGGCUGGUCCCGGCACCAUUGCCCAGGCCCGCCCGUGGUGCCGCCCCGCUCCUGGACGGCAGGUGCCCUGUUUCCCCUGCAGCUCCUCUCCUCUCGAGCGUCCCCCCUGACCCCGUGAGAAGCUGCUUGUGUCCUGCCACCUUCCUUGGGUCAGGCGUCCCCAAGGCUGGCUCUGUCCCCAGGAGCCGGGCCUCAUCAUCUCUACCUCCAUCCCUGCGUCUCUCCAGCGGAUGGUCACGAGCAGUCCUCUGACACUGUGUCCUCACAGCUCACGGGCACCAGCCUCCGUGUCUGUGUCUCCUGACCGCCCUCCUCACCCCGUUGUACCUCGCCCCCAGUGCCCUCCAGAGCCUCCUGGUCAUCCUACCUAGACCCUCUUCUUUGCCACAGGGCCUUUGCACAGGCAUCUCAUCCACUUGCCCGCUGGGCCCCCACUCUUCCGCGGAUCCUCAAAGCGUGUGUGGCCACUCUGGAAGGUUCCCCUUGCUCCUAGACCUGCACAGGCUCCUGUGGUCCCAGCCCCCUGCCGGCCAGGAAUGUGCCGGUGCCACCCUCCCCCCAACCAGGCUUCCGACUCAGCCAGGCUCUGGCUUGUCGGGCCGGACACACGGCAUCCGUGGUCGCCUGUGCCAGGUGUCGCCUGUUGCCGUCUGCCCGGCUCCCCCUCAGCCCACCCUGCAGGAUGCCGAUCGGGGUGGACCCAGCAGGGGGCUCCCAGUGGCGGGCUCAAGGCUGCCGGGGGUGGGGGGGUGCCCGAGUCAGGCUGGACUCUUCCUGUGUCCGGGCCCUGAGUGCACGCGGCCCCACAGCAGCGCUCCUGUCCCGUUGGCGCCCGGGUCCGGGGUGCACCCGCCCCCUGCCGGCUGCAGGGACCCCCUCCCAGCCUCUCCCCACAUCGCACAGGCGGGUUGUCAAGACCAGGAGACCGCUGAGCCUGCUGGGGCUGCCGGCUCCCGGCCCCGUUGGCGGAGCUGUAUUUAAGUGCCACUAACGGUGGAGGCUGGCGACUGGCGCUGCGUGGAAGGCUUCCUUCUGUAAGAUGGGCGUGAAAUCCACACGUCACGUAAAACGUGUGAACUGUUUUCAGGUGUCCAGUUGAGGAGCACCCAGCACGCUCACCCCAUGCACAGCCACCCCCCCCCCUCCGUCCCCAGGACUCUCCCGUCCCCCCGAAAGGAAGGCCUGUCCCCAUCAGACACCAGGUCCCCGUCCCCUCCCCUGCCCCCUCUGUCUGUCUGCCCUCUGUGAACAUGACGGCUCCGGGGACCUCGCGAGGGUGGAGUCACACCGGGCCUGUCCUUUUGCGUCUGGCUUCUGUCACCGGGCAUCGCGACCUCGGGGCUCCUCUGCGCGUGGCAGGCGUCUCCCUCCUGCGAGGCCGGGGGACGUCGUGCCGUGUGGACGGACCGCUGCAUUUACCCGCUCGUCCACGGUGGACAUUCGGGUCCCUUCCACCUGCGGGCUCCUGUGAAUCUGCUGCCGUGCACACGGGGGUGUCUGUCUGAGACCCCGCUUUCAGUUUGGGGGGGGCGCCCAGAAGUGGGAUCGCUGGAGCUAGCUUCUGUUUGUACACGGUUUACUCUAGUGGGCAAUGUGACGUCCACGACACUCUGCAAGAAGAGGAAGGUUAUCCUGUCCCGUAUAAUUUGGAACCACACGGACAUACUGUGCAUAGUCGCUGUUGUAUUUUGUAGAAACUUAAAAACAUUUGUAUGAUCUGGAGUGGCAAAAAGCCUCACAAAUCAAAUAGGAAACACAGAAUUUUUGGAACUACA